GAUCUCGCCCGCGUUGAAGCAUCCCUGCGGCAGGGCGUCGCGGAUCUCCUCCAGGUUGCGGAUGUCGGCGAGCGCCUGCUCCACGCUCGCGUCGUAGCCCUGCAGCGCCGCCGACUGCGACGCCACCGCGUCCUCCAGGCGCUUCAGCCGCGGCUCUAGCUCCCCGCCGCCCGCCAGCGCCCGUUCCGCCUCCGCGUACUUGCGCUCCAGAUCCUGCAGCCGCCCCAGGUCUACGUCCUCCAGGGAACCUGCCGGGCGCACACACGAAGUCACGCAGGAGCUGCUCGAUCUGCUCCAGGGCUCCGCUGACGGAGCUCUUGGCUCUCCUCGCCUUGUCCUCGGCCUCCUGUGCCGCCUCAGCCGCCUGAGCAACAACAACAACAACAAGAUGGUGCUGUUGAACACUGGCCGAGUGGCAGCAGAGGACAGAGGCGGCGACCGUUGCGGUGAAGUAUGGUCACGUGACCUCCACGACCUGCACUGGCAUAGCGAGGCCCUCGUCCCGCGGCCGAUUGAAAAAUGAGCUCUCCAGUUAAGAGCGUCUUGCGCAGCAGGUUGUAGGCUGCCGUGGACGUGUCGUUGGCCAGGUUUGCGGUCCGUUCGAUGUCGUCCGCCGCCUGCUUGUGGCUGCACGUCCGCGAAAACAACAACAGCAGCAACAACAACAACAGCUGUUGAUCGCCAGGACCCAUCAUUACGCCAAAAAUGCAACCAGGCGACAGGCCACUUCGUAUGUAAGAAUGUGUGUCGAACUUCUUUCGCACCCUACGUAGCCAACCGUGCUAGCCGGAGGUGCGGUGGAAGGACAACAAACUAAACACAAAAAGCCACCGUGAAGAAAUGAGUCUCCAAUCCAUGGCCUGCAAGCAGCAGCAGCAGCACGUGUGAAACGAAACAGUGCAUCGACCCGUGCCAGGUGGACAACGAAACUGGGAAGAGCCUCCGUGGGUGCCACCCACAGCCUUGGGGGGCUUCACUGAAGGUGGACGGCUUCUAGCCUCGUGGGUGUCAUCAGUACUGCCGUCCGUGCCGCCUCGCACCUGUCCGCCA